rnacentral:rRNA from 1 species
UGAUUAAGUUAUUAAGGGCGCACGGUGGAUGCCUUGGCACUAGAAGCUGAUGAAGGACGUUACUAACGACGAUAUGCUUUGGGUAGCUGUAAGUAAGCGUUGAUCCAGAGAUUUCCGAAUGGGGGAACCCAGCACAAGUUAUGUUGUGUUAUCGACAUGUGAAUACAUAGCAUGUCUGAAGGCAGACGCGGAGAACUGAAACAUCUUAGUACCCGCAGGAAGAGAAAGAAAACUCGAUUCCCUGAGUAGCGGCGAGCGAAACGGGAAGAGCCCAAACCAAUGAGCUUGCUCAUUGGGGUUGUAGGACACUCUGCAUGGAGUUACAAAAGAAUCGAUUAGACGAACCGUACUGGAAAGUUGGACCAGAGAAGGUAAAAGUCCUGUAGUCGAAAGUCGAUUCUCUCCUGAGUGGAUCCUGAGUACGACGGAGCACGUGGAAUUCCGUCGGAAUCCGGGAGGACCAUCUCCCAAGGCUAAAUACUCUCUAGUGACCGAUAGUGAACCAGUACCGUGAGGGAAAGGUGAAAAGUACCCCGGAAGGGGAGUGAAAGAGAACUUGAAACCGUGUGCUUACAAGUAGUCAGAGCCCGUUAAUGGGUGAUGGCGUGCCUUUUGUAGAAUGAACCGGCGAGUUACGAUCUGAUGCAAGGUUAAGCAGCGAAUGCGGAGCCGCAGCGAAAGCGAGUCUGAACAGGGCGUUGAGUAUUUGGUCGUAGACCCGAAACCAGGUGAUCUACCCUUGGUCAGGUUGAAGUUCAGGUAACACUGAAUGGAGGACCGAACCGACUUACGUUGAAAAGUGAGCGGAUGAACUGAGGGUAGCGGAGAAAUUCCAAUCGAACCUGGAGAUAGCUGGUUCUCUCCGAAAUAGCUUUAGGGCUAGCCUCAAGUGAUGAUUGUUGGAGGUAGAGCACUGUUUGGACGAGGGGCCCUUCUCGGGUUACCGAAUUCAGACAAACUCCGAAUGCCAAUCAAUUUAACUUGGGAGUCAGAACGUGGGUGAUAAGGUCCAUGUUCGAAAGGGAAACAGCCCAGACCACCAGCUAAGGUCCCAAAAUAUAUGUUAAGUGGCAAAGGAUGUGGUAUUGCCCAGACAACUAGGAUGUUGGCUUAGAAGCAGCCAUCAUUUAAAGAGUGCGUAAUAGCUCACUAGUCGAGUGACACUGCGCCGAAAAUGUACCGGGGCUAAACAUAUUACCGAAGCUGUGGACUGUCCUUCGGACAGUGGUAGGAGAGCGUUCUAAGGGCGUCGAAGCAUGAUCGCAAGGACAUGUGGAGCGCUUAGAAGUGAGAAUGCCGGUGUGAGUAGCGAAAGAUGGGUGAGAAUCCCAUCCACCGAUUGACUAAGGUUUCCAGAGGAAGGCUCGUCCGCUCUGGGUUAGUCGGGUCCUAAGCCGAGGCCGACAGGCGUAGGCGAUGGAUAACAGGUUGAUAUUCCUGUACCGCCAAUGAUCGUUUUAAGCGAUGGGGGGACACAGUAGGAUAGGCGAAGCGUGCUGUUGGAGUGCACGUCCAAGCAGUAAGACUGAAUGGUAGGCAAAUCCGCCAUUCUCAAGGUCAAGCUGUGAUGGGGAGAGGAAACAUGUUUUCCUCGAGUCGUUGAUUUCACACUGUCGAGAAAAGCCUCUAGCUAGAGAUUUGGCGCCCGUACCGCAAACCGACACAGGUAGUCAAGAUGAGAAUUCUAAGGUGAGCGAGAGAACUCUCGUUAAGGAACUCGGCAAAAUGACCCCGUAACUUCGGGAGAAGGGGUGCUCUUUAGGGUUCACGCUCUGAAGAGCCGCAGUGAAUAGGCCCAAGCGACUGUUUAUCAAAAACACAGGUCUCUGCUAAACCGUAAGGUGAUGUAUAGGGGCUGACGCCUGCCCGGUGCUGGAAGGUUAAGAGGAGUGGUUAGCUUCUGCGAAGCUACGAAUCGAAGCCCCAGUAAACGGCGGCCGUAACUAUAACGGUCCUAAGGUAGCGAAAUUCCUUGUCGGGUAAGUUCCGACCCGCACGAAAGGCGUAACGAUUUGGGCACUGUCUCAACGAGAGACUCGGUGAAAUCAUAGUACCUGUGAAGAUGCAGGUUACCCGCGACAGGACGGAAAGACCCCGUGGAGCUUUACUGUAGCCUGAUAUUGAAAUUCGGCACAGCUUGUACAGGAUAGGUAGGAGCCUUAGAAACGUGAGCGCCAGCUUACGUGGAGGCGUUGGUGGGAUACUACCCUAGCUGUGUUGG